rnacentral:rRNA from 1 species
UACAGAGGUCCCAAGCGUUGUUCGGAUUCAUUGGGCGUAAAGGGUGCGUAGGCGGCGCGGUAAGUCGGGUGUGAAAUCUCGGAGCUUAACUCCGAAACUGCAUUCGAUACUGCCGUGCUUGAGGACUGGAGAGGAGACUGGAAUUCCAGGUGAUAGCGGUGAAAUGACGUAGAUAUCUGGAGGAACACCGGUGGCGAAGGCGGCAUCCUGGACCGAGAUUGACGCUGAGGCGCGAAAGCCAGGGGAGCAAACGGG